rnacentral:rRNA from 1 species
UACGUAGGGUGCGAGCGUUAAUCGGAAUUACUGGGCGUAAAGGGCGCGUAGGCGGCCUUCUAAGUCGAACGUGAAAUCCCCGGGCUCAACCCGGGAACUGCGUCCGAUACUGGAAGGCUUGAAUCCGGGAGAGGGAUGUGGAAUUCCAGGUGUAGCGGUGAAAUGCGUAGAUAUCUGGAGGAACACCGGUGGCGAAGGCGACAUCCUGGACCGGUAUUGACGCUGAGGCGCGAAAGCCAGGGGAGCAAACGGG